rnacentral:rRNA from 1 species
AGUGAACGCUGGCGGUAGGCCUAACACAUGCAAGUCGAACGGCAGCACAGUAAGAGCUUGCUCUUACGGGUGGCGAGUGGCGGACGGGUGCGGAAUACAUCGGAAUCUACUUUUUCGUGGGGGAUAACGUAGGGAAACUUACGCUAAUACCGCAUACGACCUACGGGUGAAAGCAGGGGAUCUUCGGACCUUGCGCGAUUGAAUGAGCCGAUGUCGGGUUAGCUAGUUGGCGGGGUAAAGGCCCACCAAGGCGACGAUCCGUAGCUGGUCUGAGAGGAUGAUCAGCCACACUGGAACUGAGACACGGUCCAGACUCCUACGGGAGGCAGCAGUGGGGAAUAUUGGACAAUGGGCGCAAGCCUGAUCCAGCCAUACCGCGUGGGUGAAGAAGGCCUUCGGGUUGUAAAGCCCUUUUGUUGGGAAAGAAAAGCAGCAGGUUAAUACCCCGCUGUUCUGACGGUACCCAAAGAAUAAGCACCGGCUAACUUCGUG